UACGUAGGGGGCAAGCGUUGUCCGGAUUUAUUGGGCGUAAAGCGCGUGUAGGCGGCCAGGUAGGUCGGUUGUGAAAAUUGGAGGCUCAACCUCCAGACGUCGAUCGAAACCAUCUGGCUAGAGUCCGGAAGAGGAGAAUGGAAUUCCUGGUGUAGCGGUGAAAUGCGCAGAUAUCAGGAAGAACACCGAUGGCGAAAGCGGCUCACUGGAUCGAUACUGACGCUGAGGUGACGAAAGCUAGGGUAGCAAACGGG
rnacentral:rRNA from 1 species